rnacentral:rRNA from 1 species
GAUGAACGCUAGCGACAGGCCUAACACAUGCAAGUCGAGGGGCAGCGGGGAGGUAGCAAUACCUUUGCCGGCGACCGGCGCACGGGUGAGUAACACGUAUGCAAUCCACCUGUAACAGGGGGAUAACCCGGAGAAAUCCGGACUAAUACCCCAUAAUAUGGGCGCUCCGCAUGGAGAGUCCAUUAAAGAGAGCAAUCUUGGUUACAGACGAGCAUGCGCUCCAUUAGCCAGUUGGCGGGGUAACGGCCCACCAAGGCGACGAUGGAUAGGGGUUCUGAGAGGAAGGUCCCCCACAUUGGAACUGAGACACGGUCCAAACUCCUACGGGAGGCAGCAGUGAGGAAUAUUGGUCAAUGGUCGGCAGACUGAACCAGCCAAGUCGCGUGAGGGAAGACGGCCCCUAACGGGGUUGUAAACCUCUUUUAAUAAGGGAAUAAAACCUCCACGUGUGGGAGCUUGUAUGUACCUUAUGAAUAAGCAUCGGCUAACUCCGUGCCAGCAGCCGCGGU